rnacentral:rRNA from 1 species
CGGGUGAGUAACGCGUGGAUAACCUGCCUCACACUGGGGGAUAACAGUUAGAAAUGGCUGCUAAUACCGCAUAAGCGCACAGCACCGCAUGGUACGGUGUGAAAAACCCAGGUGGUGUGAGAUGGAUCCGCGUCUGAUUAGCCAGUUGGCGGGGUAACGGCCCACCAAAGCGACGAUCAGUAGCCGACCUGAGAGGGUGACCGGCCACAUUGGGACUGAGACACGGCCCAA